CUUCACUCAGUUAAGAAACCAGAUUCCCUUGCUCGUGGGGCCUGGUAUGCAGUGGCUGAAGACAGCAGACCCCUUAGUGGUGUACACAGCCUGCUGCUACCUCAGGAGUUGUCCCUAGGGAUCUUAGAGAGCUUU